AUAAUACUCCCUCCGUCCCAAAAUUCUUGUCUUAGAUUCAUCCGGAUACGGAUGUAUCUAAUACUAAAACGUGACUUGAUACAUCCAUAUUUAGACAAAUAUAAGACAAGAAUUUUGGGACGAAGGGAGGUCAGA
rfam:Triticum aestivum genome assembly, contig: Triticum_aestivum_CS42_TGACv1_scaffold_621664_7DS